rnacentral:rRNA from 1 species
UACGUAGGUGACAAGCGUUGUCCGGAUUUACUGGGCGUAAAGAGCGCGCAGGCGGUCGUUCAAGUCGAGUGUGAAAGCCCCCGGCUCAACUGGGGAGGGUCACUCGAUACUGAUCGACUUGAAGGCAGGAGAGGGAAGCGGAAUUCCCGGUGUAGUGGUGAAAUGCGUAGAUAUCAGGAGGAACACCUAUUGCGAAGGCAGCUCGCUGGGACGUAACUGACGCUGAGACGCGAAAGCGUGGGGAGCAAACAGG